UCCUGUACUUGGUGUUACUGCGAAGGGGGGACGGAGAAGGCUAUGUCAGCCGGGCGACGGUUGUCCCGGUUUAAGCAUGUAGGCGGAGGUUCCAGGUAAAUCCGGUACCUUGUUAACGCUGAGGUGUGAUGACGAGGCACUACGGUGCUGAAGUGAUAAAUGCCCUGCUUCCAGGAAAAGCCUCUAAGCAUCAGGUAACACGAAAUCGUACCCCAAACCGACA
rnacentral:rRNA from 1 species